GCCAUACCACCCUGAACGCGCCGGAUCUGGUCUGAUCUCCGAAGCUAAGCAGGGUCGGGCCUGGUUAGUACUUGGAUAGGAGAUAAGGGAACAUCAGAGAAC
rnacentral:rRNA from 1 species